rnacentral:rRNA from 1 species
AGUUUUCGGAUGGAAUUUGAAAUGACUGAGCGGCGGACGGGUGAGUAACGCGUGGGUAACCUGCCUCAUACAGGGGGAUAACAGUUAGAAAUGACUGCUAAUACCGCAUAAGCACACAGUACCGCAUGGUACGGUGUGAAAAACUCCGGUGGUAUGAGAUGGACCCGCGUCUGAUUAGCUGGUUGGCGGGGUAACGGCCCACCAAGGCGACGAUCAGUAGCCGACCUGAGAGGGUGACCGGCCACAUUGGGACUGAGACACGGCCCAAACUCCUACGGGAGGCAGCAGUGGGGAAUAUUGCACAAUGGGGGAAACCCUGAUGCAGCAACGCCGCGUGAGUGAAGAAGUAUUUCGGUAUGUAAAGCUCUAUCAGCAGGGAAGAAAGUGACGGUACCUGACUAAGAAGCCCCGGCUAACUACGUGCCAGCAGCCGCGGUAAUACGUAGGGGGCAAGCGUUAUCCGGAUUUACUGGGUGUAAAGGGAGCGUAGACGGCACAGCAAGUCUGAAGUGAAAUCCCCGGGCUCAACCCGGGAACUGCUUUGGAAACUGCUGGGCUGGAGUGCUGGAGAGGCAAGCGGAAUUCCUAGUGUAGCGGUGAAAUGCGUAGAUAUUAGGAGGAAC